rnacentral:rRNA from 1 species
GACGAACGCUGGCGGCGUGCUUAACACAUGCAAGUCGAACGGAAAGGCCCUGCUUUUGUGGGGUGCUCGAGUGGCGAACGGGUGAGUAACACGUGAGUAACCUGCCCUUGACUUUGGGAGAACUUCAGGAAACUGGGGCUAAUACCGGAUAGGAGCUCCUGCUGCAUGGUGGGGGUUGGAAAGUUUCGGCGGUUGGGGAUGGAAUCGUGGCUUAGCAGCUUGUUGGUGGGGUAGUGGCUUACCAAGGCUUUGACGGGUAGCCGGCCUGGGGGGGUGACCGGCCCCAUUGGGACUGAGAUACGGCCCAGACUCCUACGGUAGGCAGCAGUGGGAAAUAUUGCACAAUGGGCGGAAGCCUGAUGCAGCAACGCCGCGUGCGGGAUGACGGCCUUCGGGUUGUAAACCGCUUUCGCCUGUGACGAAGCGUGAGUGACGGUAAUGGGUAAAGAAGCACCGGCUAACUACGUG